rnacentral:rRNA from 1 species
UACGGGGGGGGCGAGCGUUGUUCGGAAUUAUUGGGCGUAAAGGGCGCGUAGGCGGUGUGGCAAGUUGGGAGUGAAAUCUCUGGGCUCAACCCAGAGGCUGCUUCCAAAACUGCCAUGCUUGAGUGUGGGAGAGGCGCGUGGAAUUGCAGGUGUAGCGGUGAAAUGCGUAGAUAUCUGCAGGAACACCCGUGGCGAAAGCGGCGCGCUGGACCACAACUGACGCUGAGGAACGAAAGCUAGGGGAGCAAACAGG